UCUGCCUUAUCGGCAAGCGGUCUCAUUAGAGUGCCCAACUUAAUGCUGGCAACUAAUGACAAGGGUUGCGCUCGUUGCGGGACUUAACCCAACAUCUCACGACACGAGCUGACGACAGCCAUGCAGCACCUGUCUCGAAGUCCCCGAAGGGAAUCCCUACUUUCAUAGGGUAGCCUCGGAUGUCAAGCCUAGGUAAGGUUUUUCGCGUUGCAUCGAAUUGAACCACAUACUCCACCGCUUGUGCGGGCCCCCGUCAAUUUCUUUGAGUUUUAAUCUUGCGACCGUAAUCCCCAGGCGGGGUACUUAACGCGUUAGCUACGACGCCGAAAGGGCAAGACCUUUCGACAUCUAGUACCCAUCGUUUACGGCGUGGACUAC
rnacentral:misc_RNA from 1 species